CUGAGCCAGGCGUAGCAUCGUUCUCACGACGGGUUCGGGAGUGACUGAAUCAAAGAGUCGGCAAAGGGAUGAAAG
rnacentral:sRNA from 1 species